UACGUAGGGUGCAAGCGUUAUCCGGAAUUAUUGGGCGUAAAGAGCUCGUAGGCGGUUUGUCGCGUCUGCUGUGAAAACUGGAGGCUCAACCUCCAGCCUGCAGUGGGUACGGGCAGACUAGAGUGCGGUAAGGGAGAUUGGAAUUCCUGGUGUAGCGGUGGAAUGCGCAGAUAUCAGGAGGAACACCGAUGGCGAAGGCAGAUCUCUGGGCCGUAACUGACGCUGAGGAGCGAAAGCAUGGGGAGCGAACAGG
rnacentral:rRNA from 1 species